rnacentral:lncRNA from 1 species
CAUAUGCAGUGAAUGAUAGAUCAAGGAAACCAUAAAUUCUUGGGCCAUACUUAUUGCCCAAGUAAUGCUCAAUAUAUAAUCAAGCAAAGAUGCAUUAUUAAUUUCUACUCAAGUCCAAGUACAGUAAGAAUCAAAGGGAAAACUAUCUCAUGGUUAAUUUGAUUAGUCUCCCAAAGUUGUGAACUCCUGACCGUCAAUUUUGAGUGAUAACAAAAAACUGCUCUAUUAUUAAUUGAAGAUGUUAAUGGGAAGAAUAUGAAGUUCGAUUAGUGUUCAUUUUCCUAUAAACAUUACAAUAGAGAGUUUCAUGUCAUCCAUGUUAAAUCUUAAGUGACGGUAAAAAAGCAAUUUUUUGCAAAAUUGGUCCACCAACAAAACAAAGUUUAAGACAUAAUAAGCCCUAUUGUGUCAAUAAUGAUCAAAAAGUAAGGGAAUGCAACCUAAUAGAUAUUGUUCCGCUUUGUCGGCCAGAAUUCAUAGUAGAGGCUUCUGGUUGAUGAUCUUCAUUGAGUUUCUACCGAAACAAACUUCUGAUGUGAGAUGGCCAAAAGAAAAUUAUAAGAGUAAUUAAAUAUUAUGCUACCUUUUACACUCACAUCAAUAGAAGGGUUAAAACUUAAAAAUGACAUCCGACCACUUGUUGCCACAGGAUGGGGAUCCCCUUCCACAAUAACAACACUGCAUUUGAACAUGAAGUGGGAAAAAAAUAAAUAAAAUAGAGAACUCUGGUAUUAUAAAGAAAAGAAUGUGUUUAUAAAAUGAAAAUAGUAAUAUUUAUAUUUCAAUAUAGCACUUGAUUCAGGACAUAUAAAAACAAAAAUAAUUAGAUAAAGACAUGUGAUCCCAGAGGAGACUAUUAUACACAUCUACUGAAAGCUGAUUUCUGUGUACUGUAAUGAAGGCUAGGCAGAUAGAAAGUGGAAGUGAAGGUGAAACUUUGCUCUUUCCCUAAGAAAGUGGAGGCCUAAGACUAGGCAAACAACUCAAAAGAUUAAAUAUAGCCUAAACCAUAAUUUUUAAUAAAGAGGAAAUAAUGGUAACUGUUAAACACAAACAAAAGUAAUUUUCCCUUGUCUUCCACUAAAUCUCUCUCCUCCUUUCCCUCUCCUCUUUCCUGUAUUGAACAAGGUUUAACAUAAGAAAAAUAAUUUUCUCCCUCUUCC